UGGGUUAUAGUUAAAUAUAACAUUUGAUUUGCAUUCAAAAAGUAUCUUAUUAAGAUUAAUCUUA
rnacentral:tRNA from 1 species